UCUGAAUGAAUAGAGAGUAUGAAUAGUUUCCAUCAACGUGUUUCGUCAAUGGACUCACCACUACCACAUAUAUGUAAGAAAAAUAGUACUAGGAAAGAGAUAACAUUUAGAGGUGGAUGGUCUGAAAUGAAAGAUUUGUAUGACAUUGUGUCCCAACAUGAAGAAUGUAAAAAAAUCAUUGAUAAAUGUGGUUGUCAAAGAUUGUUUGAAAUAGAUGCCCCGUUUUGUGACAAGAAGCUUGCGGAUGCAAUUGUUGAGCGAUGGUGGGAGUCCACCAAUACAUUCCAUUUUCCGGAGUUUGAAAUAGGUUUCACACCACAUGAUUUUACUUCACUGACCGGUAUUUCGGUGGGAAGAGGGAGUAAUCCUUCGUUUAUACAAUGGGAAGACGAUGAAAAAUAAGAGUGUUUAAUAAUGGCAAGAGCUUAUUUAGGUAAUGUGAUUGAAAAUGCUACACACUCUAACGAUUAUAACGAAGAUUACUUUAAGGGUGGUGGAGUCCCUUGUUCGCACUUGUACCGAUGGCUUCUACAAUUCAAAAAUGUUUCAAUUGAAGUUAUGGAACCCCAUUGGCAAGAGAUUACCCGAGCGUUUCUUAUGUGGUUUAUUGAGCAAGUUCUGUUUCCUAAUAGUUCAUCAAUUGUCAAAGUUGGAUGGUUGGCAUCCCUCUCUGAUCUAGAGGAAGUCGGUAAAUAUCUUUGAGGUACUGCAACUUUAGCUCGUCUUUAUCGAUCAUUAUGCGAGACUAGUAGCGGAAAAUCUCGUCAUUCAAUGGAAUGUGGAUGAUCCUACCGUGUUGGUUCUAUUUUUACUUCCACUCAUUGGUUCCAAUAGGAAUCCUAAUUCAUUUGGUUAUGAGGCAAUAGAUCUUGAUAGAUUUCCCCAAAUUGCGGUAUUUAACAAAGACCAACUGGCGCACAAUCAAGCAGGAACGGGAAGACACUUAAGAGUAGAAGCUCAGAGACAAAUAGACAUGAGAACAAUUGAGUCCACAACAUGGCAGCCUUGGGAACGAAGUAAGCUUGCAGGGAAGAAGAUUUUACGCCGUGCAAAACAGUUAUCUAAAUGUAGAUAUCUUCUUUACAAUCCCGAAGAUAGGGAAGCAGUUAUGUAUUUAAGAGAAAGGUGUUGGCGUCAAGUUACUGGAGAAUUCGCCAUACACACCUUAUACAGAGUUCUUGAGAAACUUCGAUAUGAAAGUAGAUGCUGGUGCUCAUAAGCUUGUGGUGGAUGAUGAAGGACUUUAUAAAAUGUAUUGGAAACAAGUUUCUGUUGGUCCUUAUUUAAAGCCAUUGGGUAGGCCAGUUCCGGGAAACCGAGAUGAGAUAGGGCCAUCAUCGUCCCAAAAUCCAGCACAUCGUCUUCCUUACCCCAUUAGUUUGAUUCCAGCUCAUCAUGUUUACGCUACAUAAGAGGACAAUCGCAUUCCACUAGUUGAUUGGAGCAUGACCGUUCCAGAUUCUGAUGGUGAUCCGAUGUCUAUCCCAGUUAGUCCUCGUGUUCCUAGCACCUCAUGGAGCGUAGACAUGCAUCCAUUGAGUGAGCGGCCAAAAGUUUCGGCACAACUGUAUGAUUUAGACUUCAAAAAAAGUAACGAGUUUUACAUCCGCCAAACACCCAACAAAUGGAUAAUACUGCAUUGCGAAGUGAUAAUAUGACACUGCGAAGUGAGAAUAUUGCUUUGCAAAAUGAUAAUACCGCAUUGCGAAAAGAAGUUGAUUCGCUACGACAAUAUCUUGAUGUUCAUACUCAAACACAAUGUUACCAUCCUUCCGAGGCAGAACCUUCUACUCAAGAUUGUGGUCCAGAAACUCAGAAUACACAACCUUCUCAACAUUUCAUGGCAUAUGGAGAAUAUGCAUCUUUGCUUAGCUCAAACUAAACAGAUUUACUUUCAUCACUUGGUUAUGAGAAUAAUUGAGUUCACAUUACAGUUCUCUUAAAAGUUAGAUUACUGGAGUCCGAAGUUUAGAGAUUAUGUUAUGUGAUGAUUUUAAUUUUGCUGAACUAAUUUGGGUGUUCCUUCCAAGCUGAACUCUAUGGAUUUAGUUAGUGUCUUGGUACUGUAUUGUGCUUGUUGGUCGCUUUAAUUUCCUCGAGUCCUGUAAUCUCUAUCUUUGUUUUAGUAUGAAAUUGUUAAUGAGAACUCGAUAUUUCCUCGCUGAAA